UCCUUUGCCUUCCACCACCAUGACUAUUCUUCAAAAAAUUUGAAAAUUCACGUAAGGAAGCAUCUGUAAGAAGAAAGGAGUGAUUAUUUGGUGGCCAUGGCAAAGGAAAACAAACCAAAAUAUCAUGUUUAAUUACCUAUGCAUCGUUCAUCAUCUGUCACAGCAUCACCGAUAAACUCAAACUUAAAGUCUCUGAGUGAAUGAGCAAACUUCCGCUGGGCCACUGACAGACCUAGAAAGAAAAGUAUAAUGAUGACUUGGGUUCUUGUUUUAUGUCAAAGCAUAAAAGAAAUUUAUUCUUCCUAAAAUUGGUAAAGCUGUAGAGCUCUCCUCCGCUCAAUCUAUGAGAAGGCAUGACCCAACUCCCUUGCCAAAUGGCCCGCCAUCUUCAACCUGGCACGCUCUGGGUAGCCUCUGACUUCUAGUUCAUACCCUGCCACAGAACAGAUGCUGAAAAAAUGUUUAUUCCCUCCCCUACCUCCUUCUUCCUCAGAUCUGAUUAUUUCACAUUGUUCCCUAAAGUAUUCUCCCUUUCUCUGCUCACUCCAGUCAGGACUUGCCCAAUUCUGAAGUUCAGGCUGUGAUUAGGAACACACACACCUGAUAGUGGCUUGAUGCAAUCUGGCUGCCUGCCAUGGUUUCAGACAUAAGGAACUCAAAAGCCCAAGGUCAGCCAACCAGCUGCUCUUAACCAAUUGCCAAAUAACCACUCCAGCCAGAGAAACCCAGAAGAUUCAAAAAGAAUGUUCAUAGAAAACAGCAUCAGAGAAGUAACUGAAGGCCAAGAAGAAAUGGUAGGAAGAAUUAAUUCUGCAAAAGACCUACAGAGGUCCUCAUCUUAAUUGGAGAUUAAUAGUGGAAAACUCUACUUCUAAAAUAGGCUAACAUUUAUUUUACAGGCCUUGCACCGUGCUAGGUGAUACACAUUUCAUUUCAUUCAAAAAUUCUCAAGAGAUAUAUAAAGAUUAUUAUACCAUUUUACAAACAAAGAAGCCAAACCUCAAAGAUGUUGAGUAAUUUGCAUAAGGUUGGCACAGCUACAAACAAUAGCAGCGAAGGCUUGCUUCUUCUUCAGAACCACUGGUCCAAAGGCCAUGGCCUGAGCAGUAUACAAUCCUGCCUCUGGUUUAAAGCACUUUCUAAGAAGGUGUUGACUGACUUCUGCACUUCACACAGCUGCUGUCUUCCUGUGUGUCUCCUUCACACAUUACUGUCAUAAUGAAGACUGAGUCAUAUUAUGGUAAUAAAAUUGUUUAAUAGACUAUUUUUAGAGCAGUUUUAGGUUCACAGUAAAACUGAGCUGAAGAUACAAAGGCUCCCCAUAUAGCCCCUGCUCCACCACGUGCACAGCCUCUAACCUUUUGUUCAACAUUCCCCACUGUAAGUUUCUGAAACUUCAUUUUUCCUCUAAUUCAUGUUUAUCGUGCUGUUUGCAAUUUUUAAAAAUAAUAUGUGAACACUGAAAGACCUAAAUAUGAAAAGGCAAAACUGUAAAACUUUUGGAUCAUACAGGAUUUUAAUUUCUUACACCUAAAGUAUAGAAGAAAAGCACCAAGCAUAAGGUGAAAUGGGAUGGAUUGCAAGCAUGGACCAAUCCUCCAGCCCUCCUUGCAGGCACAUCUCAGUGCACUGACAUUGCAGCUCCUCCCAUGGAAACUCAUCUAUUUCCCACCCCUUGAACCUGGGCUAGUCUUGUAGCCAAUAGAAUACAGAGAAAGUGACACUGUGCCAAUUCAGAGCCUCCACCUCAAGGAAUGUUACACACCUCUGCUCCACUCUCAUGGAACCCUCAGUCCUUCACGAGAACAAGCCCAGGCUCGCCGGCUCACUGAUGAAUGACUCCUGGCUCAGUGGCCCCGUAUAGUUGCCGCAGCAGCAGCCCACCAGCCAGCCAGCCAGCCAGCCCUGUACAUGCAUGAGGCUGUUUGGAGGGACAUGUAACUGCCCAGUGAGUAAAGCGCACAAUGGAAUAAAUGGCUGCUAUUUUAGCCAUUAGGUUUGAG
rnacentral:lncRNA from 10 species